rnacentral:miRNA from 1 species
AUCCUCGGGAUACAGUUUACC